rnacentral:rRNA from 1 species
ACCACUUCGGUGGGGAUUAGUGGCGAACGGGUGAGUAACACGUGGGCAAUCUGCCCUGCACUCUGGGACAAGCCCUGGAAACGGGGUCUAAUACCGGAUACUGACCCUCACGGGCAUCUGUGAGUUCGAAAGCUCCGGCGGUGCAGGAUGAGCCCGCGGCCUAUCAGCUUGUUGGUGAGGUAACGGCUCACCAAGGCGACGACGGGUAGCCGGCCUGAGAGGGCGA